GGGUCUGUGGAGGAGGGCAGCCCUGGCACUAAGUGCGUUCCUCUGGCAAAGAAGAAAAUAAUUUCUGUCCCUCGCCAUCUGCUGCAUGGGAAGAUGGGAAUGGAGUGAGCACGGUAUGAGGGGAUCAGGAACGUCAAGGGGCUGUGUCCAGCUGCCCAAACCAUCCAAGAGGCCGGCACCGUGCUGAGGACAGUGGCGGGGACAGGAGCCAAGGUUCAUCAUCGUACCCCAAGGCCUGGGCAAGACAGAUGCUGCGUCCUGCAAUGGCCCCACCAUGGACCCUCGUCAUCCAACCGAAGUCGCCCCCUUGCCUGGCUUU
rnacentral:lncRNA from 1 species